rnacentral:lncRNA from 1 species
GAUGAAGAAUUUGAAGAAAACUGUGACUAUGGCAAGAAAUCUACGAAAAAAAAUAAGAAAACAGCAAAAAAUACAAAGACAAAAAAAGAUAUAAAUAGUGUAAAUAAGAAGUCAACAACAGCAAAACGAAAACAAGCUGUCAAUAAAUCUCCAUCAUCGUCUAAAAGAGGAAAUCCAGACAAUAGUAAAAGUACACCUUCGGAACCUUCCAGUUCAGUAGAGUCUCAUAAGAGUACGAACACAGAUACGACCAAAGUAGCAACUACAUCUGGGAAAUCUCAACCCUCAGUGCCUUCGCUUAUUUCACUUAAAAAGCCUUUAGUGACACAAUCUCAAAUAUGUAAUUUGAGUCCAUCCUUAUCAUCAAAGUUACCCAUUAAACAGCCGAUAUGGAAUCCUCCUAGUAAAGCCACUAGUAGCGCUUCCUCUCUGAAAGUCACCUCUCCGUCUGCUGGAAUCCGUAUUGGUCUUUCUCGUAACCAAAAAGUAAAACCCCUACAUCCAACAGUGAAAGCACAGCAUUGAUGGAAUAUGUACAUACAUACGCAUGUGUGUGUGAAUAUAUACAUACAUACAUACAUUCAUACAUACAUACACACACACACACACACACACAUAUAUAUAUAUGUGUAUGUAUGUUUGUGUGUACAUUCGUACUUCCACUAUAUUGCAGUUCAGUGAGAAGUUUUCUUUGUUGAUUAUUCAACAGAGCUGUUUAUAUUUUGUAAAUAUACAGUAAUAUAUUGUUAUA